rnacentral:rRNA from 1 species
UACGGAGGGUGCAAGCGUUAUCCGGAUUCACUGGGUUUAAAGGGUGCGUAGGUGGGCAGGUAAGUCCGUGGUGAAAUCUCUGAGCUUAACUUAGAAACUGCCGUGGAUACUAUUUGUCUUGAAUGUUGUGGAGGUGAGCGGAAUAUGUCAUGUAGCGGUGAAAUGCUUAGAUAUGACAUAGAACACCAAUUGCGAAGGCAGCUCACUACACAAUUAUUGACGCUGAGGCACGAAAGCGUGGGGAUCAAACAGGG